UUGCUUCAGCAGCACACAUACUAAAAUUGGAACGAUACAGAGAAGAUUAGCUGGGCCCUGCGGAAGGAUGACACAUGAAGUGUUGAGUCCUAUAUACAAUAAUU